UACAGAGGUCCCAAGCGUUGUUCGGAUUCACUGGGCGUAAAGGGUGCGUAGGCGGUCGGGUAAGUCUGAUGUGAAAUCUCCAAGCUCAACUUGGAAAUGGCAUCGGAUACUAUUCGGCUGGAGGAAUGGAGGGGAGACUGGAAUACUUGGUGUAGCAGUGAAAUGCGUAGAUAUCAAGUGGAACACCAGUGGCGAAGGCGAGUCUCUGGACAUUUCCUGACGCUGAGGCACGAAAGCGUGGGGAGCGAACGGG
rnacentral:rRNA from 1 species